CAUGUUUGAAGGCUGUAUACCAAUAAAUUCCAUGCAAUCAGGCACCAGCUAGGAGAUUCCACUUACCUACCCAGGUGCUGUGCAGAUGCCUGUGACUCCAGGAAGUUCCACAAACAGGAGAGAGCUGUAAACGUGUAUACUGAAAUGGGAUAUUUGCUUUCUACCUUUAGAAUGUGACAAUCUUCCAGCCUCCUGACUGAACUGUGAGGCAGUAUGAAUACAAGUGAAGAGCACUGGAGAACAUAAUUUUCACUGAGAAAAAUUGGAAUUUGUCUCUUCAGAAACAGUCAAAGCAAAAGGAAUUGAUCAGGAAAGAAACACCACUGAGAAACAGAAAGAUUCAGCUUGGGAAAAGGUAAAAAUGGAAAAGACUGCUACUAAGAUCACCCUCCCAAAAUGGUUCACUUCCUUAGACAAUUCCAACUGCUCCCAGUAUGAGAAAGGCCAACAGCAUCAUGGGUUUUUUUCCUUUAAUUUAGCCUGUCAUUGCUCCUUUGAGGAAAAUUAUUAAUUAUUUUUUAGGUGGGAAAUAAGCCCAAAAGUACUACAUUUACUUAAAUACAUACAGAGCAAAAAGCAGGGACGGAAUCUAGGUUUCUGGAGUCUCUGUGUAGCAUGCUAAACACUAAAACCUUACACCA